rnacentral:rRNA from 1 species
CUAUGUGUUGUUGGGUAGGGGAGCGUUCUGUAAGCCUGUGAAGGUGUACUGUGAGGUAUGCUGGAGGUAUCAGAAGUGCGAAUGCUGACAUAAGUAACGAUAAAGCGGGUGAAAAGCCCGCUCGCCGGAAGACCAAGGGUUCCUGUCCAACGUUAAUCGGGGCAGGGUGAGUCGACCCCUAAGGCGAGGCCGAAAGGCGUAGUCGAUGGGAAACAGGUUAAUAUUCCUGUACUUGGUGUUACUGCGAAGGGGGGACGGAGAAGGCUAUGUUGGCCGGGCGACGGUUGUCCCGGUUUAAGCGUGUAGGCUGGUUUUCCAGGCAAAUCCGGAAAAUCAAGGCUGAGGCGUGAUGACGAGGCACUACGGUGCUGAAGCAACAAAUGCCCUGCUUCCAGGAAAAGCCUCUAAGCAUCAGGUAACAUCAAAUCGUACCCCAA